ensembl:lncRNA
GCUGGAAUUGUAUGAUUGUGAAGACAUCGCGAACCUUAAAGGUUGAGAAGUGAACGGAUUAUACGGCGAACUGAGACGACGUGAAAAAGGGGAUUGGAAGCGGCAUUGAUGUGAGUACUAAGAGCCAGUCGAAAGUGCCCUGUAUAUUGACCUGGCGUUGUGUAGAUCUCUCCAGGAGGAGGAGGGCGGCCCUACCCCUAAUAUAGCGUGGUGGGAGAGCCGAAGGAAUACUUAUUGAAGUAGUCACAACGACGACAUCACUAGCUAGGCCGCAUAUUCCAUCGCCAGAUCCGAACCAAGCGAAGUGAAGGAAGACGGGUGUCCUUUUCGUACACUGAGUGUGGUGGGUGAGUCUUCAUGCUGUGAAAACCUAUAAUUUUGACGUGGUGCUGUAUAUUGCUGUGGGCUGCUGUGUAUUGCCGUGUGUCCUGUCAGAUAAACCCCCGCCUUCACGCACUUCGUCGCGGGAGGACAAGGAGACUGCUGGUCCUAGCCUAGUUCAGUACAGUAUAUGUUGUGAGCGUGCUUCAGAUCUCCGGAGAUAGCACAGUACGCUGUGUCCAGCCCAGAGGUGAAAGCCAUCCAAAGCAGAGUAACUGUGCUUUGCGUCCAAGUUGAUACCUGUGGAGAGGAAAGGAAAGAGAGUGAAUAACACGAGGAGGAAUAGAGCGAACCCUGUACUUACAGUACGCUGUGUCCAGCCCAGAGGUGAAAGCCAUCCAAAGCAGAGUAACUGUGCUUUGCGUCCAAGUUGAUACCUGUGGAGAGGAAAGGAAAGAGAGUGAAUAACACGAGGAGGAAUAGAGCGAACCCUGUACUUACAGUACGCUGUGUCCAGCCCAGAGGUGAAAGCCAUCCAAAGCAGAGUAACUGUGCUUUGCGUCCAAGUUGAUACCUGUGGAGAGAAAAGGAGAGAGAGGGAAUAACACGAGGAGGAAUAGAGCGAACCCUGUACUUACAGUACGCUGUGUCCAGCCCAGAGGUGAAAGCCAUCCAAAGCAGAGUAACUGUGCUUUGCGUCCAAGUUGAUACCUGUGGAGAGGAAAGGAAAGAGAGAUUGAUACCUGUGGAGAGAAAAGGAGAGAGAUUGAUACCUGUGGAGAGAAAAGGAGAGAGAGUGGGUAACACGAGGAGAGACCGAGGAAACCUGUACUUACGCCGCUGCCUGUGGAGAAAGAGAAAGCGAGUGAGCACCCAAGGAACGAACUGUGUGAACCAGUACUUACUGUGAGCUGUAAUCAGCGAAGAGCCGUUGCCUGUGGAGGAAGAGAAAGAGAGUGAGCACCCCGAGAACGAACUGUGUGAACCAGUACUUACCGUGAGCUGUAUUCAGCGAAGAGGAGGAAGAAGGAGGGCGCUACGGAUACCUAAGACUCAGGCCGGGGCCCGAGUCCCACGCCCCGGAUCCCCGUGGCCCCCUUGCUCCCUGACCUCUUCCCGGCCAUAGCCCAUCUGGAGGGCCGAGUCAGAGUUUAGUUUUAAUUGCCCUUUCCCUAUUCCCCAAGCUAUUUUUAAAUAUUUAAAUAAAGAUUGUUUUAUCACUUACUUGUUCUCGUGU